GAAUGCAGUGGAGUUGCACAGUUUUCUUUACCGCAUCCGUGAUAUUGAAGAUUUAAGAUCAUAUUUUGCUUUUUUAAUUUCAUUUGUUUUAUUGAACUGACAAUCGAGAUUAAAGGAAGAUAUUUUUAUCAGAAAACGGAGUACGUGGAUUGUUUUAUUGGACACGGAGCGAGUGACACCAAAACUGAAACUAAAUGCGCACUCACAGUGUUGUUGUCUAUUAGACAUAACGUUACACAUUUAGUUAACAUUUUGAUAUUUGUAGAUUGACCCCAUUAACUUACAUUCUCAUCUGCCCUCUCCUAACAUUACCAGAGAUUCUUCACAAACUCUUUCAUCAUCAUCAUCAUAUUGUUCACUGGUGUGUUCAGUGGUGAAUGUGGGCCAUGUGACUCUCUCCUGGUACAAAGGAAACAGUUUAUUGUCCAGCAUCAGUGUGUCUGAUCUCAGCAUCAGUCUCUCUCUACCUCUGGAGGUGGAAUAUCAGGAUAACAACAGCUACAGCUGUGUGAUCAACAAUCCCAUCAGCAACCAGACCACACAUCUCAACAUCACUGAACUUUGUUGGCCGUGUUCAGAUCAGGAGCUACCUUCAUAUAACAUAGGGUUGAUCUCUGCUGCUGUUGGAUCUUUUUUAAUUGUAGCCACAGUCGUGAUGUGCUGGAUCUGCAAGAAAUGUAGGAAAAUUGACAGAGAAGGCAAGUGUUUUGUACUGCUUUUAAACAAGUAAUGUGAAUAAUACUCUAAAUAUUUCAGUUAAUUAAUACACAAAAUUAUCAAUGACUCAAAUACACUGCGUUAAAA